rnacentral:lncRNA from 1 species
GCCCAUGGUGUGCGGUUUUCUCAUGCUUCUCGGGGCCUUGGUGAUCAUUAUUACGGUCUUAUUUCUGUCCAUAAGAGACAGUGACAUGGAGGAAAAUGAAGCUGCACCAGGAUCAUCUGGAAAAGGCGGUGGUGGCGGAAGCAACGUGUUGGUUGUUCCUCAGGCGCCGGCACCACCUCCGCCACCCGUCGUACCGGGAGAAGAUACGGGCUCGUCCA